rnacentral:rRNA from 1 species
UACAGAGGUCUCAAGCGUUGUUCGGAUUCAUUGGGCGUAAAGGGUGCGUAGGUGGCGCCGUAAGUCAGGUGUGAAAUUUCGGAGCUUAACUCCGAAACUGCAUUUGAUACUGCGGUGCUUGAGGACUGGAGAGGAGACUGGAAUUUACGGUGUAGCAGUGAAAUGCGUAGAGAUCGUAAGGAAGACCAGUGGCGAAGGCGGGUCUCUGGACAGUUCCUGACGCUGAGGCACGAAGGUUAGGGGAGCAAACGGG